GGAUCGGCACUAUGGAAACGGAUUUUAUAUCCGAAAGACAAACAAACGGAACUUGAAAGGCUCACACCAACAACAACAAGGGAAGGAAAAUUGAGAAAACCAACAAGUCAUAGCGCGUGUAUAAAUGCGAAGAAAUCAAAGUGAAAGUCGGUGUAAAACAAACGAAUUGAAUGGCGAAAAGUAAAAAGGAAAAGUGAGAAGAUGAUUUGCAACGAUAAUAGAAUAAGAACAUCACACAGCUCGAAUGUAUAUAGAAGAAACCGUUAGUGAUUAGACUUUCGCCGGAUAUACUACUCCUAUUUUGUCGCCGAUCAGCUGCAGCAUUGCAUCACGCCGUUGAACGCGAAGUCGUAUUAUUUUUAUUCGGCACGUUCGUGACGAGAGCGGGGGGAAAAAGAAUCAACUCGAUAUGCGUAAUACUACCCGUCCGACCAGUUCGCCAAAUAGUCGCGGAUGACUUUCUCCCCUUCAACUUGGCAACAACAAAGUAAUACAACAUGACGUAACAAACCAAACAGCUUUUGCCCAGAGAAUUUCUCGCGUUGUUGUGCGAUACAUUUUUUUAUUUCGAAGGGACAGCACGUCUUGUGUAUAUUUGCAUGUUGUGUUUUGUGUGCAUGCAUCUGAUUCGUAAAUGGAUGGCGAAAAAAGGAAAUCACGACCGGGAGACAAGUCACGAUGUGGCAGCUGCACAGAUUGCCAUCUAACAGUAUUGCAUCAAAAGUUCGUAGAUCAGGGCACAAACAAGGAAGGAGCUGGAGGAGAGAGAGAAAAGAGACAAAACGUGAAAGGAGCUCUCUGCUCCUAAAGGACAACAAGCAGAUUACGGGAGAGUCUCUACGCAUACUACCAGUAUACUGUUGUGCAAUGUUGUGUUCCCUUUCGGGAUUGUGUUCACUAUUGCGUUACGGUUAUACACCGAUGAGGUGUCGGAGCGAACCCGUUUGAAAGGACUAUAAGCUCGGAACUCUGUCGGCUUAUUUCUUACUGUACUAAAAGAAAAAUACAUGAAAUGGUGGAAAAAAGGAAAAAUCUUGAUUGAGGUGCCAGUACCGUGUCAGAAGCCCACAAUACCUCAUUCAGUGCGCUCAGGCAACUUUCAAUUAUUCGUCCUAAACGAUAACAGAGCUAGGGACUCUGCUUGGAGCUAUACCCAGACAGCCCGCUAUUCAGCAUUGACCGCGAAAACUUGUGCGUGUCGAAAACACAUGUAUUUACACAGCAACGAACGAGUCUAGCGAGCGAAUGACGGGAGCGGGCAAACCAAUGGCCGCGGCGGCCGAAUCACAUUUCUUCGGCCUUUCAUUAUUAUUACGUUCACAGUCUCAGCAGCAGACUGUUGUUUUACAGACUGUUGUUUUUUUACUUGACAAGAGUGAACAGUUACAAUUCAGACGACUGUCAACCUUUUUGUAAAAACCAAAGCCAAUUUGGUCCGUUUUGUUCCAACAAGCAAACGACACAGCACCGGCGCAACGGAUUUCAGCGCCUAUUUAUAGUCCAACAAACGCUGCGUGAAUAAUAAAUUUUCCUAGUUUAAACUCUACAAAGAAGCCAAAUCAGUAUUCACAAGGCAUCGCCGUCGAUACGCCAAGUGUUGCUAUGUAUACGCAACUUUCUAAGAGACACACCGAAAAAUCAACAGUGAACGAGAUCCGGGACUGAUUAGAAAAAACAAAAAGGGCGGCCGACCCGUAAACAUAUAUACUGGUUAUUAAAAUAAAAAAUAAAAUCAACUUGAGGCGGUUGACGAUGGCCAGCAUCCACAGCAACAACACGACGUCGACUCUUAUAUGUGUCUUGUUUUUUAUCACUCACAAGUAUUACGUGCUCGCCCUAGUUGGGAAAAUAAAACGAACGUUUUUCUGAUUUUAUUUUUUUUUUGGGUCACACGGCAUUCGGAUCCAACUGGCACAUCGAAGAGCAGAAAAAACAUGAGGGCUGGUUCUUGUCAAGAUUACCCCCAAAAACGCAAUCGAUGCCUUUCGCCGAAUAGUAGUAGAAAAAAAGAACAUGUCAGACAGACUCCCGGAUAUUGCUCGCUAUCGGAUAGAUGGCGCAUUGGCGCGUCACUAAAUACGGGGCGAUUCCCAAAUCAAGAAUUUACAUAUCAGCGGACGUGUGUGCGAACAAAUGCGACGUCCUUCAUCUUCUUAUCACUUGAAACGAUUUGCUGUUGUGAGAGGUCUGAAAAAACAAUCCCGAGUCACUUGUCAACAACCACCAAGAUUACAAUUUUCAUUUUUCUAGGAAAAAAAUCAAGCAUUUAAAAGCAAACAAUAAAAGCCGCCAUAAUAUUCAUAUUUUGAAAAGUGAAAACUCCUCCCGCAUAAGUGUUUUUGUUAGGUUUUUUAAUCAAAAUUGCUUUGGAGACCUUGAAAGGUAAAUUAUACGACUUGUAGCCGAAAACGAUAUUGAUUUGACAACCGCCGCUGUACAAAUAUGCAAAUUAGGUGUACACCUUUUUAUUGCCAAAGGAAGAGAACGAAUAAAUCGACCCAAUUUA
rnacentral:lncRNA from 1 species